CAUAUUUACAAUACAAAUCGC
rnacentral:piRNA from 1 species